AUACAGAGGGUGCAAGCGUUAAUCGGAAUUACUGGGCGUAAAGCGCGCGUAGGCGGUUUGUUAAGUUGGAUGUGAAAGCCCCGGGCUUAACCUGGGAGGGUCAUUCAAAACUGGCAGACUAGAGUGUGGUAGAGGGUAGCGGAAUUCCUAGUGUAGCGGUGAAAUGCGUAGAGAUUAGGAGGAACACCAGUGGCGAAGGCGACUGCCUGGACCAACACUGACGCUGAGGUGCGAAAGCGUGGGUAGCGAACAGGAUUAGAAACCCCAGUAGUCC
rnacentral:rRNA from 1 species